rnacentral:rRNA from 1 species
GACGAACGCUGGCGGCGUGCUUAACACAUGCAAGUCGAACGGAAAGGCCCUGCUUUUGUGGGGUGCUCGAGUGGCGAACGGGUGAGUAACACGUGAGUAACCUGCCCUUGACUUUGGGAUAACUUCAGGAAACUGGGGCUAAUACCGGCUAGGAGCUCCUGCUGCAUGGUGGGGGUUGGAAAGUUUCGGCGGUUGGGGAUGGACUCGCGGCUUAUCAGCUUGUUGGUGUGGUAGUGGCUUACCAAGGCUUUGAAGGGUAGCCGGCCUGAGAGGGUGACCGGCCACAUUGGGACUGAUCUACGGCCCAGACUCCUACGGGAGGCAGCAGUGGGGAAUAUUGCACUAUGGGCGGAAGCCUGAUGCAGCAACGCCGCGUGCGGGAUGACGGCCUUCGGGUUGUAUACCGCUUUCGCCUGUGACGAGGCGUGAGUGACGGUAAUGGGUAAAGAAGCUCCGACUAACUACGUG